AACUCACACCUAUUCAAGCAGCUUAGGGAUGCAAGCCAACAAUUCCGUGAUGCGGAUACCAAUAAUCGAGUUCUAAAAUCAGAUGUCGAAGCUUUAAGAGCUAAGGUACAAUAAAUCUCACUUAUUUUUAAAAUAUUAUAUUUCACUCCUUAAAUUUUAAAAUUUAGGAUAGCAAAUAUUUUCACACUAGUUCCGUGAUGCAAAAAAUAUUUUGCAAUAAAAUUUUUGGAAUAUGCAUAAAUAAAAUACAUUUUGGAACAAGCUUUUUGAAAUGAGGUUUUCAACGUAUAUAAUAUGUUUUGGAAUACAAGAAAUCCAUUCUGGAAACAUUCAUUUUUCCACAUUUUUUCCUCCUCUUGGUUUCUCUCCUAUCUGACUUUACAAGUUACACAGAAUAGAAAUUCAAACUAUGAUACAUUAACAACUUUUUUAAAUAAUUAUUCAAUAAUAGAUUAUAUGUUACUAUUUUAUUAAUAAUAUAUUUAAAAUGGAUCAAUCACAGAUUAUCAUUGUUAAAAAAUUGUCAAAAAUAGUUGUUAAAAAGAUAUUUUGUUACAAAUUCACAAAGGUGCAUACAUACAUAUAUAUGUUAACUCAAGUUGUUUGUUGAUUUAGGUAAAGUUAGCUGAGGACAUGGUGAGAAGAGGCACAAUUCCACCAUUGAACAACCAGAUUCUUCCAAAUCUGAGUGAAUUGAGCAAUAUGAAUAAUCUGCGUGGCAUGGCACAUGUUUCACCAACCAUCACUGUGCAUGGGAAUGAUGGUGCUUCGUAUGGUGCUGGAAUCACACUCAGUGGACAUAACUCACCUCUUGAGCUUGGAAACUUGGACAUAUCUUGCACUGAUUUCAAUACUGAUAAUGCUGUGAGCUCUAUCACUACCAUGUGGCCUUAAUCAACAACACUUUCUAUCCACCACAUGUUUUAGUUCUGUCAGUUAGAUUCACCUUAAGUUUCUCUUGCCUUAUUUAUUAGGUUAAUUUCUAGGUUAAACUGUGGAAUUACAUUCUACAAAAGACUCUUUACAUGUAAGAAACCAUGUAGACUACUUAGCAUGUGUGUUAAAUUAUUUCUUCAUUUUGUUUCCUUUCGCUUCUUUUUACGUUUAGUUAACACAAACAAAGUGGCUUUUACAACUCAUUCGUGAAUUUUUCUGAAAUAGGAUUAGUUUAAUAUAAUAUCAUUGUUGUUAAUUAUUGAAUGGCUUAAAAGUAAAAGACCAAAAACAAAAACCUGAACAAAUCUAUCACAUUUAAAAAUAAUAAACAUGCAAAGAUUUUAAUGAACACUUGGUUACAUUUUUUAACGUGCAAAGAUGAAACUUAUGUAUUCCUAAUUAUCUUAACUAUUGAUUUUCACAUAAUUAAACAUAUUAUUAAUAUACAUUUAUAAAAAUUAGCAUUCAAAGUUUGAAGAGUUUAAAACUAAUUAGUUCUACCCUAUUUCAGAUUCGAUCAUAUUAAAAAUUUAAAUGGAGAGACAAACAGAAGUAAACGUGAAUAAUAUCAAUAUGAUUUCAAUUACAGAAACACUGAAUGAAAAUGUAAUAAAAAUUUAAAGUGAAAUAUGAAAAAUUACAGAAAAGCUGUACGUUUUGUUGUAAAUUAUAACUACAUAAUCUAAGUAAAUUAAAAAAAUGGCAAGUGAAACUCAGCAACGGAUACAAGCUAACAUUUCAUUAUUUAUAAUCAUUGUAGAAUUUGAGGAUUUUAUACCUAAUUUUUCAUCCUUAGAAAAGUAUAAGAAUACUUUAUUUAUAAACCUUUGUAGACGAUUACUCUUGCAACACUAAUUACACAGCAUCCACAUUAUGUUGACAACUUUCCAUUCUGUAUGCAAGAAUCAUGUUUCAGAAUUGGUAAUCUUUUAAGGUGAUUAACCAUGUUCUCUAUAAGAUAUAUCCAGAUGUUAAAUAAUCAGUGCAUGUCUUCACAUAUUGUAUUUAUAAUUUUUUCCAACAAACACCACUAAGAAAAAUUGAUAAAUAGUGACUAAAAUUAAUAACUGAGUAUAUAAUGAAUUAGUGACAAAGUUUAUUCUUUUAAAUUAAUGAUCAGUGACAAAAAUUUAAUAUGUUACAUUUUCAUUAAGAAAUAAAUUAGUGACUGAUGUUGUCGUAGAUUUUUUGUGAACAUUGAGCUAACAAAAUGAAGUGCAAGGAUACCUAGUAUGAAAGCAAUGCAUCUUCGACAAGUUUUAGAAAAUGCAAAUAUUUGCGGAAGAGGUUACUUAUCUUUCACCUCUCUAAUUUAGACAAGGUUGUUUUAUGUACCUCUUUUAUUGACCACCAAUAAAUUGUACAUGCAAUAGAUAGGUUUUUUCUUAUCACCUUUGUUGUUUUUGAACAUUGAAUAUUUAAUGUUAUUUAAUGUUUGCUCAAAAUAACAAAGUGUUUUUUUUUUUUUUUAUUUCUUACCAUUAGGUAGCUUUUAACAAUUAAGCUCUUUUCAAGAUACCAAGUAUUGAUAAAGACUUUAUCGUUUUGGAUAAAGUAUUGUUUAAGCUCAUGGUAUCGUUUAGCCAAGUAAACGCUUCUUUCAUUUUUGUCUCUUCUUAGGCAAAUAGCAUUUAACUUGUUUUAUGUUUUCUUUUAUAUUUUAAUCUUCAUUUUAUUUUAAUCUUAGGCAAAUAGCAUUUUAUUUUAAUCUUGUCUCUUCUUAGGCAAAUAGCAUUUUUGUCUCUUCUUAGGCAAAUAGCAUUUAACUAUUUUAUUUUCGAGAGCUAAGCUGAAUACCUUUUUUAGGUACGAUAAGCAUCAAGCGUUUAACUCCAACUCUCUUAUAUGCUUUAGGCAUAAUAGCAUUUAGCCUUGCGUCUAGGUGUUUUGACCUAGAUGUUUUCCUAUUUCCUAAGAACCUAAGUGUUUUCCUAAGCUUUUCUUUGUUGGGGAUUCAGGUUCUAAGUCUUGUGUCUUCACCCAAAGUUGUUUUCUGAUUAUUUUUCCGUUUUAAUGUUAUUUUAUUAAACUUCAAAACUUGAGAGCGUUUAGGCGCAUAGACGAUUUUGUCUUAACAAUUAGCAUGGACAUUAUCUUAGGUCUUCCAAGAACUGUCAGGGGUUUUGAUUAUAUCUUUGUGGUUAUGGAUCGGUUUAGAAAAAUGUCUCAUUUUAUACCAUGCCACAAGAUAGAUGAUGCAAGCAAUAUUGCAAAGUUUUUCUUUAGGGAAGUGAUUAAACUUUAUGGUUUGCCUCACACAACCAUUUAUAAUAGGGAUACAAAAUUUCUUAGUUACUUUUGGAAGACCUUGUGGUCUAGAUUAAGGACUAUUUUAUCUUUUUCUACUACUUGUCAUCGACAAACCGGUGGACAAAUAGGACUAGUUAAUAGAACCCUAUCUACUUCAUUGAGGCUUGAAGGAAAAUCCCAAAUCUUGGGAUGAAUAUCUUUCCUAUAUUGAGUUUGCAUAUAAUAAGGUAGUUCAUAGGACUUCUAAGAUAUCUUUUUUUUGAGGCUGUAUAAGGUUUUAACCCUCUCACACCCAUGAAUUUAUUACCUUUUCCUACUUCUUUUGAUUUUAUUCAUAAAGAAGUGGUAUCUAAAUCACAAUUUAUAAAGGAACUUCAUGAAAGGGUUAAGACUCAAAUUCAACAACAAAUUGAGAGACUUAGUUUGACUUCAUUUAAGAUAAUAUAAAUUUCCUAAACAAUGGAAGUCCAAACUUAAUCAUCGAAGAGAUAGUGUUUAUAAAGUCCUUAGGAAGUCAAUGACAAUGCUGACUAAUUAGAUUUUCCCAAGAAGUAUGGAGUUAACACUACUUUUAACUUGUCUAACCUUUGACCUUUUACAGAAGAAUCUGAUUCUAAGGAGGACUCUCCAUAUUUGAGGACAAAUCCUUCUCAAGGGGGGUGGAAGGGGGGAUGAUGACUUGGGUCCAACCAAUGGACCCAUAUCAAGGAGCAUGGCUAGGAAUACUUAAGAAGAUUGGUAGGAGAAGGCAUCAAAUGCAAGGAUCCAUCACUCAGGCUGAUUGAAAGGACUAGAUGUAGGCAUUAAGGCCGAACCAAUAUAAAAAUGUUGAUGUUUGUCUUUCUAUCCCUUAUCUCUUUUAUUUCAUUAUAAUCUUUAUUUUCUUGUGUUUCAAGAAAGUGCAAAAGAUUUUCAAACGUUUUUAAAAGAUAUAUAAUUGUUGAUAACAAGCAAUUCACCCGCUCCCUCUUGGUUGAGAAAUAAGGCCUAUCCAUUCCUACAAUUGACACCAGAGUUGGUUUUUCGAAAAUUACUCGAAAACUAAUCGAUUAGAUUUUCUGUGUAAUUGAUUAUUUUGAUCCUAAUGGCCUAUGUUUCUCUGAUCAUGAGUAAGAGUGAAUUUAAUGAUGAUUUCUCGAAUGCUACCUGCAAAGAUAUGUGUAGUUCUAUCAUUAACACUUCUUAUGAUUUCUUUAAGAUAGGAACAUCUUGGAAAUUUAUUCAAGAAGAAGAAAGAAGCACCAACACUCUGAAAUCUGAAGGAAAAGAAUCAAACCUGUUGGCAGAAAAGUUCACCAGAUUUGUGAUGAAUAUAAGGAAAAUUGAUAUCAAUCCCAGGGAUGUUCGGAAGCUAUGUAAGGAUCAACAUCUAUAGCGAACAGACCUAAGCAUAAUGCUCAAAUUGAGGGAGGAAGAAGAAACUAAACAAAAGAAACCUAUUGCCUUCAAGAUUUCCAACAAGAAAGCCUCAAGAAGCAAUGAUACAUAUGCAGAUUCAGAUGCUGAAGUACCAAGAAAUUUACAAAGUUUAUGAAAUCUAGAAACAAUGUAUCUGAUUUUGCAAGCAAUACAAAAGGAAGCAAAAGAAAAGGCAAAGUUGCUGCUCCUAUUGACUAUGGGUGUGGUAAAGAAGGCCACAUUAAACCGGAUUGUCCAACCUUAAAGCAGAAGCAUAAAACUGAGGAAAAAUUCAAUCAGGACAGGAGGAAAAGCAAGCAAAGAAAGGCCUACAUUGCAUGGGAAGAUUGUGACCCAGGAGGAUCACCCAGUGAUGAAGAGGAUCAAAGUCUAGAGGAGGAGAAAAAUCUAUGUCUUAUGGAUGGAUCAGUUAGUUCUGAAAGCAGUGACAACAACUUCAAUUAUUGAAGACAGGUACUAUCAGUUGUUGGAUGCAUUUUAAGACCUUCAUGCAGAAGCAAUGAAGUUGCAGUACAAGGUUAACCGAUUAAAUAGUGAAAGAAAUGAUUAUGAAUAUUGAAUUGAUAACCUUGUUGAAGACAAUAAUAAAAUUGAAAAUUGAUCUUAAUGCUACUUUACAAUCUGUUGAGUAUGCUAAAUCAGAAGCUAAAAUUAUUAUUAAAGAUUGUAAAGAUUGCUCUGCUCAUAUGGAAAAGAUUAAUUACUUAACAAGCACACUGUCAAAAUUUAAUCUUGGAAGAUCAAACUUAGAAGUUGUUCUAGGCUCUCCAAGAAGAGUAAUUAACAAACAAGGCAUAAGAUAUACUAAUAAAAGCAAUAAAAUUAAUGCUAAGAAGUUUUCUGAUCUUAGUAAACCUUCUUCUGUUACUUGUUUUUACUGCAAUACUAUUGGACAUAUUCUCAAGUCUUGUUACUACAAAAGGAUUGGUGUUCCAAAGGGAAAAUUCCAAUGGAUUCCCACGACACUGUUACUAACUCAAGAGGACCCAAAUUCAUAUUAGUACCUGCUGCAAAACCUUAUGAUUUUUUUGCAGGUGUCAACACCCAAUUUCGUCCGGGUGACUGAAUAAUAGGACUUAGUGUUUGUUUUUGUCUUAUUUUAUUUUAUUUUCAUUUCUAUUUUAUUUUUUAGUUUUUUGGUAUUUGAUUUAGCUAUCUUAUUAUUAUUAGAUUUGAUUUUAUCUUCUAUUUGAAAAAAUAUAUAUAUAAAAAAAUAAAUAAGAAAAGAAAUGAAAAAAAAGAAAGAAAAUAAAACAAAAAGGAAAGAAGAACAAAAAGACACGAAAAACGUUUUGGCUGAGGGGAGGCCAUGUGUGCAAAACAACGAAGGGAGACAAAGUGGUCUUAGGGAACAUGGCAGAGACGUUGUUGGGAUUUGGCAGAGCAGAACAAAACGGUUCCUGAGUGGAGUGGAGUAGGAAGGCGGAACGAAGAACGACAAAAAGGGUCGGGAGAGCUUUGGCCAAAUAAAAAAGGAAAAAAGAUAACAAAAAGAGGGUUUACUACUCAGAGAGAGGUGUGGCAUUUUCAGCAUUCAUUUUACAAAGAGAAUAGAAAAAAAAAAAAAAAAAAAAAAGAGAUUGCUGGCUACAUUGGGAAUCAAGGAGCUGUGAGAGCAAUAUUUGGAACUGGCAAAGGAGAAAAGGUGACCAAAGUUCUUCAGAGAAACAGAAACAAAGGAGGGAAGCAUCAAGAGGGGUUGGGGGUGAUUGUAGUGAGGUUUAGCACCAAGAAAUUUCUUUUCGUUUCUUCCAUGACACUUAAUGACCCUAUCCAGAGAAACAUUGCUUCUUCUUUUAAUGGCUUUCAAUGUCUAAUCCAAGUUGUUGCUUGAGAUACCACCACCAUAGUCUUCACCUUUCCUCUCUCGGCCUCGACAGCCACUUCCCUUCUCACCUUUACCCAACGUCUAGUUCAAUAGCCAUUGUGCCUGACUCACAUCAUCACCCUCCACCUGCACUACACGAAAUCACCAAAACAUUCUCAACAGAAAUCCCUCUUUCGAACCACUUCCUUCCCCCAUGUGAACCUCCAUCCCAUGGACAUGUUCCUUAGUACAACCAUCCUCACAGAUUCCAGAAACCACCAUACACAGUCUUAAAACAAAAAGGCAGAGAACAAUUCACCCAGGUCCAAACUCACACGCGCAAUACCAUAACAGAAACCCAAAAUACCGAAGCAAGCCAAAAAUCGGAAACUCUAUUCAUUGCCAUACAACUCUGUUCCCUUGGAAAACUAAAUCAAAGAUGAAAGUUCAAAAAAAAGAGGAAAAGUGGUGUGGUUUGUUAGGAAGUCGGGGUGGAACGGAGAAGGUAGGUCGGAGAGGGUUUAAUUCGUGGGGGUGGUGCGGUGACGGAGAGAGCGACGGCGUCAUCGCGACAGCAAUGGAAGUCGGCGGUGAAGGUAGAAGACGCGAUUAUGGGCUUGGCGGUGUUCCUGUGGCGGCGGAUGCUCCGGCGGAAAUUGGGUGGGCUGCGUGACUAGGGUUCACGGUGGCUUCCGAAGGCGCGGUGGUUGCACACGGUAGAGGGGUUGGCGGUUUGCGAGUGGCCGACGUCGCGGUGGCUGACCGGAUGACUGGCGGUGACCGGCGGUGUUCGAGAGAGCGACCUUGCGUCUCUGGAGUUGAGAGAAGUGUCGAAAUGGGGGGAGAUGGUUGAACCCCUAAUGAAUUUCUGGUAGGGUUAAGGGGCCUUGGGCCUGACUGGUGGGCUGGCUUUUCUUCCCUGCACCACUCGUCUUCGUAUCACACCCCCAUCCCAAUUCUACAAACAAACAAAAAUGGAAAAAAAAGAACCUUGUCCUGCAACCUCCUUGCCUUCCUUGCACACUCCCUUUUUGGUUUGGGCUUAAGCCAAAUCUGUCCCUAAUAAAAAAAAAAUUGCUUCUACACCCCUAGUUCUUCUAAAUUUCUCUCCUGUCCAGUUUGGGUUUUAGCCCAUUCUGUUUCUGAAAAAUAUGGUUUGGACACCCCCUUUUCUCAUUUAGGCACCUCCAUACCCUUU
rnacentral:lncRNA from 1 species